rnacentral:rRNA from 1 species
GACGAACGCUGGCGGCGUGCCUAACACAUGCAAGUCGAGCGGAGAUAAUAGCAAUAUUAUCUUAGCGGCGGACGGGUGAGUAACGCGUGGGUAACCUGCCUUAUACAGGGGGAUAACACAGGGAAACUUGUGCUAAUACCGCAUAAUACCAUUGGGUGGCAUCAUCUGAUGGUCAAAGGAGUAAUCCGGUAUAAGAUGGACCCGCGUCCGAUUAGCUAGUUGGAGGUGUAACGGACCACCAAGGGGACGAUCGGUAGCCGAACUGAGAGGUUGAUCGGCCACAUUGGGACUGAGACACGGCCCAGACUCCUACGGGAGGCAGCAGUGGGGAAUAUUGCGCAAUGGGGGAAACCCUGACGCAGCAACGCCGCGUGAAGGAUGAAGGUUUUCGGAUUGUAAACUUCUUUAGUCGGGGACGAACAAAUGACGGUACCCGAAGAAUAAGCCACGGCUAACUACGUGCCAGCAGCCGCGGUAAAAC